rnacentral:rRNA from 1 species
UACGUAGGGCGCAAGCGUUGUCCGGAAUUAUUGGGCGUAAAGAGCUCGUAGGCGGCCUGUUGCGUCCGCUGUGAAAGCCCGGGGCUUAACCCCGGGUCGGCAGUGGAUACGGGCAGGCUAGAGGUAGGUAGGGGAGAAUGGAAUUCCCGGUGUAGCGGUGAAAUGCGCAGAUAUCGGGAGGAACACCGGUGGCGAAGGCGGGUCUCUGGGCCGAUACUGACGCUGAGGAGCGAAAGCGUGGGGAGCGAACAGG